CUUCUUAAACGUGGACAACAGAAGACCACGGCUCCGCUGUCACGUGGGUGUGUAUCCCCGCUGACUCAGCUGUUGAGCACGCCCACCGUGCAGAACCAGUCAAAUAGUCGCCGCCAUCAGGUGGACAGCCACACUGUGCAUCGGGACCUGACCUGGAGAACGCCUUUAACCUUUGGAAAGACAUCAAAGGAAAACGACGAUGUAUCUUCGAUACUCAGCCCUCCUCGCCAUGAUGUGCAUCACAAUGACGACCUCAACAGUCAUACGAGCUGUGCCAUCCGAACGUUCAGCCUGCGUCGGAUACCGGAGGAAUUGUCAGCCUGAAAUCUGCUGUGGUGGCCUGAGAUGCUUAACUGCGUCCAAAGAUCCCUGCACCCUAACCAUCUAUAACUCCUUUGCCAGUAGGACUACGACGUCGACCAGUACUGAGCAUCUCGACUACAGGCAGCUUCACAAAGCGGAAGUGAUGUAGAUAUCCGUAAAGCCAAGCUAAACCAUCUGCACAGAAAAGUUUUUUGUGACUAAAUCUCGAAGACUUUCUUUGCUUUUGUUUUUUUUUUUUAAUCGUAAAACUCUUGGAGUCUAUGUCCCUUCUGUCAGUUUGUGCAAGUCUAUAAAAGAUACUUGUUCGUGUCUUCAGAAAAAUGGUUUGUAGCGAUGCUCACAUGCUGUGUUAAUAAAUUUUCUGGUUUGUUGA
rnacentral:lncRNA from 1 species